UAGGGAAUCUUCGGCAAUGGGGGGAACCCUGACCGAGCAACGCCGCGUGAGUGAAGAAGGUUUUCGGAUCGUAAAGCUCUGUUGUUAAGGAAGAACGAGUGUGAGAAUGGAAAGUUCAUGCUGUGACGGUACUUAACCAGAAAGCCACGGCUAACUACGUGCCAGCAGCCGCGGUAAUACGUAGGUGGCAAGCGUUGUCCGGAUUUAUUGGGCGUAAAGCGAGCGCAGGCGGUCAAUUAAGUCUGAUGUGAAAGCCCCCGGCUCAACCGGGGAGGGUCAUUGGAAACUGGUCGACUUGAGUGCAGAAGAGGAGAGUGGAAUUCCAUGUGUAGCGGUGAAAUGCGUAGAUAUAUGGAGGAACACCAGUGGCGAAGGCGACUCUCUGGUCUGUAACUGACGCGGAGGCUCGAAAGCGUGGGUAGCAAACAGG
rnacentral:rRNA from 1 species